GAAGUAUGAUCAUUUUUAACAGAUUUGGACACAUCCCAAAGUCUUGGAGGAUGCUUGGAAGAAUGCAAAUAUUCAAAAAAUUAAAAAAGAUGCAAGGAAAGUAUCAUGUCCACACUCAGAUGACGACCAACCAGAUGAUAUUUAUGACCGACAAACUGGUGUCAUAUCGGUAACUAAUGAUUGGUGGAGGCAAUAUCUUUCAAAAAUGGAUUUGGAAACAAUUAUGCCAAGCAAUAAACUUAGGACAAUGUUUGCCAUUCUUCGCUUAUGCGAGGAGAAGGGCGAAAAGUGUUUAAUAUUUUCGGCUUUCGUGGCGGUACUCAAUGUGGUUGAAUACUUUUUGAAAAAGAUAAAUGAGUCGGAUACAGAGAUAUUGCAAAACA